rnacentral:rRNA from 1 species
GCAUGCCUUACACAUGCAAGUCGAACGGCAGCACGGGUGCUUGCACCUGGUGGCGAGUGGCGAACGGGUGAGUAAUACAUCGGAACAUGUCCUGUAGUGGGGGAUAGCCCGGCGAAAGCCGGAUUAAUACCGCAUACGAUCUACGGAUGAAAGCGGGGGACCUUCGGGCCUCGCGCUAUAGGGUUGGCCGAUGGCUGAUUAGCUAGUUGGUGGGGUAAAGGCCUACCAAGGCGACGAUCAGUAGCUGGUCUGAGAGGACGACCAGCCACACUGGGACUGAGACACGGCCCAGACUCCUACGGGAGGCAGCAGUGGGGAAUUUUGGACAAUGGGCGAAAGCCUGAUCCAGCAAUGCCGCGUGUGUGAAGAAGGCCUUCGGGUUGUAAAGCACUUUUGUCCGGAAAGAAAUCCUUGGUUCUAAUAUAGCCGGGGGAUGACGGUACCGGAAGAAUAAGCACCGGCUAACUACGUGCCAGCAGCCGCGGUAAUACGUAGGGUGCGAGCGUUAAUCGGAAUUACUGGGCGUAAAGCGUGCGCAGGCGGUUUGCUAAGACCGAUGUGAAAUCCCCGGGCUCAACCUGGGAACUGCAUUGGUGACUGGCAGGCUAGAGUAUGGCAGAGGGGGGUAGAAUUCCACGUGUAGCAGUGAAAUGCGUAGAGAUGUGGAGGAAUACCGAUGGCGAAGGCAGCCCCCUGGGCCAAUACUGACGCUCAUGCACGAAGCGUGGGGAGCAAACAG